GGAGGAGACAGCUGCUCUUCAUCGAUGAAAACACACAGAUCUCUCAAGAGGAAAUGAGGGCCCGGAUUGAUGACGUGGAGACAGAGACCAGGCCUUUGGCAUCACUUGUCAAACCACCGUUUGAGAAGAAGGGUGCUAAAGAACUACUCGAGAACCCUUGCAUGAGCCUUCCUCCUAAAAUCCUGCCGCUAUGGAAACAGGCCGCGGUCCUGAGGCCCAUCCCACCGUCCCGGCGGCGCGGGGAGCUUCCUGUAGCUGAGGAGAUACCAGAGAG